UACGGAGGGUGCAAACGUUGCUCGGAAUCAUUGGGCGUAAAGCGCACGUAGGCGGACCGCUAAGUCGGAUGUGAAAGCCCUCGGCUUAACCGAGGAAGUGCAUUCGAAACUGACGGUCUUGAGUAUGGAAGAGGGUCGCGGAAUCCCCGGUGUAGAGGUGAAAUUCGUAGAUAUCGGGAGGAACACCAGUGGCGAAGGCGGCGACCUGGGCCAAUACUGACGCUGAGGUGCGAAAGCGUGGGGAGCAAACAGG
rnacentral:rRNA from 1 species